rnacentral:rRNA from 1 species
UUAGCUGGUCUGAGAGGAUGGCCAGCCACACUGGAACUGAGACACGGUCCAGACUCCUACGGGAGGCAGCAGUGGGGAAUAUUGGACAAUGGGGGAAACCCUGAUCCAGCAAUGCCGCGUGUGUGAAGAAGGCCUGAGGGUUGUAAAGCACUUUCAGUGGGGAGGAGGGUUGAUAGGUUAAGAGCUAAUUAACUGGACGUUACCCACAGAAGAAGCACCGGCUAACUCCGUGCCAGCAGCCGCGGUAAUACGGAGGGUGCGAGCGUUAAUCGGAGUUACUGGGCGUAAAGGGUGCGUAGGUGGUUUAUUAAGUUAUCUGUGAAAUCCCUGGGCUUAACCUGGGCAGGUCAGAUAAGACUGGUAGACUCGAGUAUGG